AUGUCAAACUUAAUAACAUCCACAUGUGUUUGGAUUUCAUCAUCUUCAUCAGGAAAUUCUACCGAGCCGUUUCCUACUCCUGAUCCAUCAAAGCAUCUUGAAUACUCGUCCCUGCCUCAAGAAGGGGGAGUCUGCAGCCUCGGGGAGGAGGUAAGGCAGGGGACAGACAGAAGGGAGAGAAAGACAAAGUGGUGGAUGGGGAAGAGAGGGAAAUAUGAGUGACAGCUUGUUGACUUUUACAAGAUGUUGAGGGCUUAGUUGGCUAAAUUGGAUUCCCUCAUGAAGUCCCAAGCGUGGUGUGCUGAAGGGGUCAGAAAUGGUCCCAUCUGAUGUUUGACCUCUCCUGCUCCCCACAUGUCAGCAGCACUGGCCACGACACGCCGCAGCUCACUGCAUAAUUACAUCUGAACUCAAGUCCAUUUGUGCAAGACUACAGCCUCUGGGAUUCUAUCUGACGAGAAGAUGGAUGUGAAAUAAGUUUUGAUGAAUAGAAGUUUUGCUUUGUGGUUAGUAACCACUGAUAUCCAACAAUAUUUCAUCUGCCCACUAAGAAUUCCCCCAACAUCCCAAUGGUACAGUUGAGUGCAUAUGUUGCACACUGCCUAAAUUCAAACAUCUCUACUUUGUUAAAUUUAUAGCAGUACGAAUGAAUUAUUUACAGCACAUUACAUUUUUAAAUCAGAAAGGAAGAAUUGGUCAAAAUGUAUAAAAUUUAGUACACUAAGUCAUUAAAAUGAGGGCUGCACCGUGGUGUAGUGGUAAGCACUUUCGCCUCACAGCAAGAAGGUUCUUGGUUUGAAUCCCGGUUCAAACCAACCAGGGCCUUUCUGUGUGGAGUUUGCAUGUUCUCCCCGUGUAUGCGUGGGUUCUCUCCGGGUUUUCCGGCUUCCUCCCACAGUCCAAAGACAUGCAGAAUGGGGUUAGGUAAAUUGAAGACUCUACAUUGACCGUAGGUGUGAAUGUGAGAGUGACUGGUUGUUUGUCUCUGUAUGUGGCCCUGCGAGUUUAAUCUGUUUAAAAUGCCGAUCUUUUUGACAAUUGUUGAACUAAAUUUUUUGGUUCUUCCUCACAGACUAUACUUAUUUUUUUAACAUGAACGUGAAAGGCAUAUUACUGAGUUUUCACGACUUAGUAUAUAUAUAUAUGGGAAAUAAAAGAAAUGUCGAUGAUGUGAAAAUGC
rnacentral:lncRNA from 1 species